rnacentral:rRNA from 9 species
UGGGGAAUAUUGGACAAUGGGCGCAAGCCUGAUCCAGCCAUGCCGCGUGAGUGAUGAAGGCCUUAGGGUUGUAAAGCUCUUUUGUCCGGGAAGAUAAUGACUGUACCGGAAGAAUAAGCCCCGGCUAACUUCGUGCCAGCAGCCGCGGUAAUACGAAGGGGGCUAGCGUUGCUCGGAAUCACUGGGCGUAAAGGGCGCGUAGGCGGACUUUUAAGUCGGAGGUGAAAGCCCAGGGCUCAACCCUGGAAUUGCCUUCGAUACUGGGAGUCUUGAGUUCGGAAGAGGUUGGUGGAACUGCGAGUGUAGAGGUGAAAUUCGUAGAUAUUCGCAAGAACACCGGUGGCGAAGGCGGCCAACUGGUCCGAAACUGACGCUGAGGCGCGAAAGCGUGGGGAGCAAACAGG